CUUGAUAGAGACACCUCGUUACAUCGAGCUACGAGAAAGAAUAUCAUCAUCUUACAUAAUUCUACUCGAACACCGCAUCGAAAUCAGACUUUAAAAAUGGCGUCAAAAACCAUGAUUUCUCUCUACUGUCUGAUUGCAUUGGCCGUGGUAGCAAGUGUUUUAGUCGAGGAAGAUGAGAUCGACAAUUCCAAUGCGUUGAGUGUUGAGGAGCAACAAGACAUAAUAGAAUAUUGUAAGCAGCUAAGACGGUUAGGCAAAGUCACACCUCCCUGGUUAGGCGGUCAUGG